CUUAUCUUAGAAGGUUGUCAGAGAUCUACUCUGUUUAUGCAAGUGAGAAAUACGUUUUGAAUUAUAAGACCUCAAUUUCAGAAGUCCAAGCUCUCCUCAAACUCAGAGUUUUGGAGGCUACAAGUCCAAAAUCAAGUUGUCAGCAGGGUCACUACAGGUGUGACAUUCUGACACCAUGCGUGGUACACACCCUUGGGAAUUCUGAAUUCCAC